GUCACACCCGAUUACCGUCCCAAACACUUCACUUUUAUGUCCAGAUGAACAGCCGCCGCCGCCGCCUGUCCUCCCCCACAUCGCCGGCGACGACGCCGCCGCUGGAGGACGAAAAUCUCCUCCUAGAGAUUCUCCUCCGCCUCUCCCCGCUACCUUCGUCACUCCUCCGCGCUUCCCUCGUCUGUAAGUGCUGGCGCCGCCUCGUCUCCGACCCCAGAUUCCUCCGCCGCUUCCGCGCCCACCACCGCAAACCCCCACUGCUUGGCUUUUUCAUCCCAUUCGUGGAUGGAAUCUCCUUCAAACCCAUGCUACCCACGCCGGACCACAUCCCCGCCUGGCGCUUCUACCUGCAGAAGAAUCGCGACGAGAUGUGGAGCUUCUUCGGCUGCCGCCAUGGCCUCGCUCUCGUCAUCAACCGGACGUGGCUCGAGGCCAUCGUAUGGGACCCCAUCACCGGCCACCAGCGCUGCGUGGCCUUUCCACCUAGCUUCGACGAAAACCAUGGGAAGUUGGUCAGAAACGCCGCGCUGCUCUGCGCAUCUGCUGAAAAUCAUGACCACGUGCACGGCGAUUGCGGCUCGCAUCCAUUUAAGUUAGUACUGGUGCGCGACGCCGGCACGAUUGGUGAGGCCCCAGGUGCAUCGGUUUGCCUCUAUGAUUCAGAAUCCGCCGUGUGGGCAAAUGUGAUCUCAGUAGCCACUACACAUGAUAUUAAUGAAACGAGUCCCAGCGUCUUUGUUGGUAAUACACUUUAUUGGUUGCUUAUCGGGGGUGAAAUCCUUGAAUUUGAUUUUGAAAGGCAGAGCUUAGUGGUGAUCACCAGACCUGCAGCAGUAUCCCACUGUGAGAAGUAUGGCCGCUUUCAGAUCUUGCGGACACGGGAAAACCGGCUUGGCCUUGCCGUGUUGACAGAGAUGGGCAUGGAAAUAUGGGAGAGGAAAGGCAAUGCUGACAGUGUUAAUAUCAGAUGGGUGUUACAGCAAACCAUCAAACUUGACAAGCUCCCCCAACUGGUACCGCCGAUUAAUACAUCACUUCUCUAUAUAAUGGGUUUGAUGAGGACAGCAAUGCCAUAUUUCUUUCUAUGGGCCUUGGCCGAGCCUUGAUGAUCCAACUUGAGUCGAUGCAGUUCAGAAGAAUUUUAUUAAAUAGUUACUGCCAGUGUUAUCCCUACAGAAAUUUCUAUACCCCAGGUCGACUCAUGCCUUAAAGUUCGCGCUCGGACUACACAAGUGUUGUUGGGUUCACAACCAUAUAGAGCCGUGCUUCUUUGUGACACAUGACACUCUGUGUUCGUUGGAGGUAUUAUAUUUUUGGGAGGUGGCUCAAUUAGUUUGGUAAGCAAGAGCUUUGUUGUGUUUCAUAGUUUCAUUAGUGAGUGUUUAGAGAUUUUUAGCAACGUUGCGCUGUGAGGUGAUACAGUCUGAUGUUGUCUGCCCAUAAUAGUAUGACUGGAGAUGGAAGUGUUCACCUGUAUGUAUCUGUUGUAGUUUCUAGCACAGCUACUUAGCACUUAGCAGUUGGAAUUUCUCAAAAUCUGAACUUGAACCAUCUUAAAUAUUUACCCAGUGACUUGAUUGACACAGUCAGAGGCUUAAAAGUAGUCAUGUUCUUCCAUUCAAUACUUUCCUUUUCUCUGUACUAUAUUAUCUAUCUCUAUUAUCUUGCUGGUGGUAGUCAUACAAUCUGAUAGUGGCUACAUAUAUCCUAGCUUAUGAAAUAACUAGCGGAGUUCUAUUAAGCUUUUGUCGAGGAGUCCUGCUAGUGAUGAGUUCAUCUCAAACGGACAUUUUUUUUAAACCUCCAUAAGGCCUGAUUAUUGAUAAUUAUCCGUACUCAUUUGAACUAUUUGGUCGUAUUUGGUCCAUUCGAAUUUACUUGUAAGUUUAUACUCAUUUGAACUAAAACUUUAUCUUCCCUAAUCAGCUAAACCAGUUUGAAUAUGUCCAUCACUACAAGGUAAAUGAGUAUUACUGUUUUGAGUAGUUCCCCUUGUACUUGGCAUCUUCCUCUACCUCUUCGUAACAUUUGGUAUCCGUUGGAUCGUGGGAGAAGAUGGCCCCCUGCUGGUUUGUUUCUCUUGGCGUUUGCCAUGGUGUUGAUUUCCAUGUCCAGAGUAUCUUUUGUGUGUCGUGCAUCUCCGGCCUGUUCAUGCUUCGUCUCCAGUGUCUCCAAUUCCACUCUGGCCGCCAGGGGGGCUUGCUUUUGUAGGGGAUGGUUGAGGACUGGUUCAAAGCUUUGUUUUGGCAAGGUGCGAGAGGGGAGAAGCGGUUGGCCCGGGUGAAAACCUUGCCCGGCUGGUCUGGUGCCAGCGAUGAUGACACCUGUGGGUGCCAUUCUUUGAGGCGUCAUUGAGGUGCCUCCGCUUAGCUCCCAUUCUUGGUCUUGUGUUUCUAGGUGAAAACCUCGCUUCUCCUGGGGCGGGCGACGGCGGCAUUCUGGUGCUUGAGAGCCGUCAUCUUGGAACCUAGACCCUCGACGGUUUGCUCUACACUCCUGGUGGUUUUCGUGAGCCAGUGGUAAUGCUCGAGAUGAAGACAUCAUGGUGAUCCCGGUGAAGGUGGUGGCUGGAUCCGGCAACGUCCUCAGUGCUUCAGUGGAUAGAGGAUGAAGAUAUCAAGCCCAGGACAUUUUAAUUUCUUUGCUGUCAGUGCUUGGUGUAGUAUUUCUCUUUCUCUUUUUAGUUAGGCGGUGUUCUUCUCUUUUGUGCUUCUAUUGUAAGAUGGUAUCCCCAGCAUGCUCGAUAUCUAUACUCUGGUGGGUUGAGGGCUUUGUUAAUUCAAAGUCGGGCUCGUGGAGCCUUCUGUCUAAAAAAAAACCCUCUUUGUAACAUUGCACAAAGCUAAUAAUUUUCUCAAAUUAUACAAGCGCAUUGUGGUGGGCUGGUCUAACAGUUGCACCUUUGGGCUCUCUUAUAAUUUUGUCUUUUCAAAUUUGGGUUGAUUUAUUGGAUUUUUUUUCUUGCAGGCAGAGGAAUUGGUGGUAGAAGUGGAAUUGAAAUGUUGCAUAAUACAUGAGGCGAUCAUCCUGAAAGGUCUGCUAUAUGCCGUGUUGGCUGAAAAGGAUUCCGAAGCUGCUUUUGAAGUGCCAAGAUGAAGAAUGCUCUAUGUUUCGUUCGUUGGUGGCUCGUGAAGUAUUGACUGUUCAUUGCAAAUGUCAACCCCAUCGUCUGCUGUAGAACUCUCUAGUUUUGGUAGAAUUCACCUCUAUGGCUCUAUGGGGUAUCCUUGUCAUAUUCGUUGAUCAGCCGAAAUUUGAGUUCACUUUAGUGAAUGCAAUAGACUAGACUCUUCCACCUGUUUAUGCAAGUAAUACCAUGCUUCAUGGUUGCUUUUAGUGGUUUUUGCUGACAAAGCUUGGCCCACCGGAUCUUGAUCGGGCUUUCUGUCCUGUACCGACUGACUAAUUGGCCUGCUCAGUUAAUCGUUUCGAUAUUGAUCAAUUGGCCUCUGUUAAUUCGUUCCGAUAUUUGAUUUGCUUGCAGUA